AGAGCGAACGUUAGCGGCGGGCCUAACACAUGCAAGUCGAGCGAGAAAGGGACUUCGGUCCUGAGUAAAGCGGCGGACGGGUGAGAAAUUACGUAGGUAACCUGCCUUUCAGUGGGGGACAACGGUCCGAAAGGACCGCUAAUACCGCAUACGUCAUUCUGGACUUCGGUUUGGAAUGGGAAAGCUGGGGCAACCUGGCGCUGGAAGAGGGGCCUGCGUCGCAUCAGCUAGUUGGUGGGGUAAUGGCCCACCAAGGCUUAGACGCGUAGCUGGUCUGAGAGGAUGAUCAGCCACACUGGGACUGAGACACGGCCCAGACUCCUACGGGAGGCAGCAGUGGGGGAAUAUUGGACAAAUGGGCGCAAGCCUGAUCCAGCCACGCCGCGUGAGUGAUGAAGGCC
rnacentral:rRNA from 1 species